ensembl:lncRNA
GUCACAGUAUUGUUUUCUUUUUCAUAUUUUCUAUUGUCUUCAUUUUCAAUAAGUGAAGAUGGUUUCUGUUUUACUUUUAAAAUCCACUUUACAGUUUAACCCUCUUAUAGUUAGUUACAUAUUUUAAGUUAACCUUCAGCCCCUCCCAGGGUAACAAGCUGUAUAAAAUACAGCCACACAAGACAACAGUUUAUGAAAGACUUUUGUGUUUUGCAUUUCAGUUUCUUGAGUUAUACAGUAGUCCUCCCUUAUUUGUGGUUUUGCUUUCUGCGGUUUCAGUUACCUGCAGUCCAAAAAUACUAAAUGAAAACUUCCAGAAAUAAACAAUUUAUAAGUUUUAAAUUGUACACUGUUCUGAAUAGCAUGAUAAAAUCUGGUGGUGUCCUGCCUGGGACGUGAAUCAUCCCAGCACAUCUAUGCUUUAUAAGCUACCCAUUAGUUACUUAGUAGCUGUCUUGGUUGUCACAUCUACUGUCAUGGUAUCACAGUGCCUGUGUUCCACUAAGCCUCAUUUUAUUUCAUGGCCCCAAAGCACAAGAGCCGCGAUGCUGGCCAUUUUGGAUAUGCCAAAGAGAAGCUGUAAAGUGCUUCCUUUAAGUGAAAAGGUGGAAGUUCUUGACUUAAUAAGGGAAGACAAAAAAUUGUAUGCUGAGGUUGCUAAAACUUACAGUAACUUUUAUUACAGCAUAUUGUUAUAAUUGUUCUGUUGUGGUUAAUUUCUUACUAUGCCUCAUUUAUAAAGUAAACUUUAUCAUAAGUGUGUAUGUAUAGGAAAAUUCAGUAUAAUCGGGUUCAGUACUAUCUCAGUUUCAGGCAUCCACUGGGGUCUUGGAACGUAUCCCCUGUGGAUAAGGGGGGACUACUGUACCUGAAUUUUGGCCUUUAUUAAGUUGAAUAUAUAUCCACCUGAGCUAUUUCAAUAUGUGACCACUUUUUUCUUGUUUUCAUACAGUAUCAUAGUUAUAAUAGAACUCUGUACCGAAUCAUGAUCACAGUUUUAAAGUUAGUCUAUAUUGGGGGAACACAGGAACUUCACUCUUGAAGGAUAUUUAAAAUGAUCAGUUUACUGCUUUCAUAUUCUCACCACAUUUAGAAUAUUUUUUCAUGCAUUCACAAUUAGUUUUAUUUACCUAUUUCAAAAAUAAGCCCUAGGGAUUUAUUUUAAAUCUGUGCAGUGUGGUAGAGAGGGAAUAACAUUUAACAGGGUGUUAGGAAACCUGUGUUCUAGUUUAAGCAUUGCCUUUAGUAAAACUAAAUCAGUAGGUAAUGUAAGAUAAAUCAUUUUACUGACGUUUUGUUUGUAUUCAUCAGUAAGUUAUACAAGUUAAUUUCUAAAGUUUUUUUUCAAGUUCGUAAACUCUGAAGAAUUUCUGAGAUGGAGAAGAAUCACCGAAAAUGUUACUUUGAAAACCAGUUGUACAAAACUGGUAGGUAUUACUAAAGUCACUUUCCUGAAAUAGUAAUAAUCAGAAAUUAUAGAUUAUGUUGAGUACUUAGUAUGUAAAGACACUUUGUGCUUACGUGCUGACUUGUUUCAUCACCAUAUAACGUACUCCCUGUUUUUUUUUUUUUUUUUAAAGAUUUUAUUUUUUCCUUUUUCUCCCCAAAGCCCCCCAGUACUUAGUUGUAUAUUCUUCGUUGUGGAUCCUUCUAGUUGUGGCAUGUGGGACGCCGCCUCAGCAUGGUCUGAUGAGCAGUGCCAUGUCCGCGCCCAGGAUUCGAACUAACGAAACACUGGGCCGCCUGCAGCGGAGCGUGCGAACUUAAUCACUCGGCCACGGGGCCAGCCCCGUCGUACUCCCUGUUUUUACAGUUGGGGAGACAGGCCCAGAGAUGCUAAUAACUUGUCCAAGAUUACAAAGGUAGUAACGAUGGAGCUGAGAUUCCACUUAGAUUUUUAGCCAGUUUGGUGUUUCAGAAGAAGCCACCUCAUCUCUUUUCGAAAAAAUACAAGUUAAUGUUUAAAACGGUGGUGCUAGGUUCUACUAAGGAUAGAAAGCGUAUUUCCUUCAAAGCUUCCCUUUUAAGAGGUUUUCCUAAAGCGUUUAAUCACUUUUGAUGUUAACCUAUGCUUUGUAUUUUGGGUGUUAAAAAGUUUAGUAUCCAGUUAAUAAUCUAUUCUAAAAAGCUCAACACUUAGUUGAGUUCUUACUAAGUAUCAGGCAUUAUUCUAUAUGCUUGGAUUAGCUCAUUUAAUUCUCAUAAUAACUGGUUUCUCCCCUCUUGAUUUUUUUGGAUGAAAAAAGUGACAGAAGAACUUGGUGUAAAAUUUUGCAUGAUAAUUUUUUUUCUAUUCAGAGGAAUCAAAAUAUUAGACAUGUAAAGUUGAAAUUUUUGACUAUUUGAAGACAUUUAUGACAGUCUGCCUUAAUGUGAAAGGGGUAAUUUCUUCCAUGUACUCUACAAUGUUGGUUCUAAAUCUAUACAUCAGCAACAUGUGCAAGUCAAAAAUUUUAAGUUUAGGUAUCCAGUUGGGUUUUAUUGGCUAAAAUAAAAAUUCAAGGGAGUGAAAUUGAAUUCAGGUAUCUCACUUCUCUUUUGGAUUUGCUUUCCUCUGUGGUGGUUUUAUUCUCAGGGAUAGUCUUAAGUGUUCUAAAAAUGGCCAUCACCAUCUGCAGGUUUCCAUUAUUCAUAUGGUUCUCAAUGUCAGCAGGAAACAGCCAUUUUUCCACCACGUUUCCAUAUCAGUUCUACAAAAGGACUGUGACUAGCCAUGCUAGCCUGGAGCCAGCUCCAAUCCUAUUUGUGUGUCCAGGGAAAUGGAGUUCUUUGACUAGCUAGCAUGGGAGGCAGGAGAGGCAGGGAAUUUUAUGGUCGGCUCCAUUGGAAGUAAAUCAGGAGGGACAGUUCCCAAAUGACAUGGACAAAGUAACAAAUGUUUGAUAAAUCUAUGGUCUCAUAGAGCUAACAUCUAAAUGUCUGACUUCUCGCUCAGAAUAUUUUGUCAUAGGCAUAGCUUCCUUCUGCUUCUGGCUAUCUAUCUGUUCUGUAGAAUACCUUGGUCACUCUUCUGCAAGGACCUGCAUUUUGCUUUGUCAUACCUUUAAAAAUUAUCCUAAGGCAUGUGGGAUGUACGGAGUAAGAAGAAGGAAAUGUGAAUUGUUGCCAGCAUUUCACUGGCUAUCCUGGAGUUCCCUGACUCCAAGUUUUUUCUCUCUCUGUCCUAAACUUGUCUGUGGCAUCUGAAAGACUCUUCAACCCUACUAAUAAUAUUCAGGGUAUAACAGGUCAGUAAACAACUGUUCCAGAUCUUGACUUCCACUGAGGUCACUCAAAAGAACUUUGUUUUUAAAUUGUGUGUCCCGGAGACCGGAGGCUACAGUAAGCUUCACAGAGUUUCCAAGGGGCUCAGUGAUUACGGAAUGUGAGCUGAGUUUUUGGCUGGAAAUGUUAAAUCAUUUGGCAAAUGACUGGCUUCUAGAAUGCGAAAAUGCCUUUACUUAUAGUGGUUUUCAGGAGUAGAUGAGAAUUUUGGUACAAAAUUAAGUAGUUUUAAUGGAAACAUCCUAUUUGGAUUAAAGAGGUAUUUCUUUUAUUGCAGAAGUAAUCGUGUUUUUCCUCUGUGUAACUUGUGAGAGUUUUUAACUGAAAUCUAUGGAGAUAGAAUAUUAUUGGGAUUAAUGUCAAUCUCAGAAGACUCAAUUUGUUCUUAUUUUUGUGUUUAGAACUAUUUAAAUGCACAUAAAAUAUUUAUACAAACUUCCUUUUGGGCCUAAAAAUUUUGUGUGUUGUAUUUCAAGUGUACAUCAUUAUAUUUUGACUUUAUAGACUACAUCCUGCUUAGGAUGGCUGCUUUUACCACCAAAAGUCUAGUUGCCAUCUGUUGUUAUACAAAUGUACCCUUUUGCCUCUUUUGCUCUCUCCCACCCCACUUCCGCUCCCCUCUGGGAGUGGAAUCUGUGUAUCUGUGUAUCUGUGAAUCUCUGUGUCUGUGUGUUUGUUUGUUGUUGUUUUCUUAUCUUCCACAUAUGAUUGAAAUCAUAAUGUAUUUGGCUUUCUCCUUCCAACAUACUUUACUUACCUUAAAACCCUCAAGGUCCAACCAUGUUGUCACAAAUGGGAAAAUUUCAUCUUUUUUUUUAUGGCUGAGUAGUAUUCAAUUUUAUACAUACACUACAUCUUUAUCCAGUCAUCCAUUGAUGAUCAUUAGGUAGUUUCCAAGUCUUGGCUAUUGUGAAUAAUGCUGCAGUGAACAUAAGGGUGCAUAUAUCUUUUCAGAUUAGUGUUUUUGUUUUCUUUGCAUAAAUACCCAAAAGCGAAAUAGCUAGAUCAUAUGAUAUUUCUAUUUUUAAUUUUUUGAGGAAUCUCCAUACUGUUUUCCAUAGUGGCUGCACCAGUUUACAUUCCCACCAGCAGUGUAUAAGGGUUCCCUUUUCUCCACAUCGUCUCCAAUACUUGUUACUACUUGUCUUUUUAGUAAUAGCCAUUAUGACGAGUGUGAGGUUAUAUCUCAUUGGGCUUUUGAUUUGCAUUUCCCUAAUAAUUAGUGAUGACCAUCUUUUCAUGUUCCUGUUGGUUUUCUGUAUAUCUUCUUUAGAAAUAUAUCUGUUGAGAUCGUGUGCCCAUCUUUUAAUUGGUUUGUUCACUUUUUGUUUUUGUUAUAUGAGUACUUUAUAUAUUUUGAAUAUU